rnacentral:rRNA from 1 species
AGACAGCAGCAGCCGCGGUAAUACGUAGGUCCCGAGCGUUGUCCGGAUUUAUUGGGCGUAAAGCGAGCGCAGGCGGUUAGAUAAGUCUGAAGUUAAAGGCUGUGGCUUAACCAUAGUACGCUUUGGAAACUGUUUAACUUGAGUGCAGAAGGGGAGAGUGGAAUUCCAUGUGUAGCGGUGAAAUGCGUAGAUAUAUGGAGGAACACCGGUGGCGAAAGCGGCUCUCUGGUCUGUAACUGACGCUGAGGAGCGAAAGCGUGGGGAGCGAACAGGAUUAGAGACCCCUGUAGUCCCUGUCUCUUAUACA